rnacentral:rRNA from 1 species
CCUACGGGAGGCAGCAGUGAGGAAUAUUGGUCAAUGGACGAGAGUCUGAACCAGCCAAGUAGCGUGAAGGAUGACUGCCCUAUGGGUUGUAAACUUCUUUUAUAUGGGAAUAAAACGUUCCACGUGUGGGAUUUUGUAUGUACCAUAUGAAUAAGGAUCGGCUAACUCCGUGCCAGCAGCCGCGGUAAUACGGAGGAUCCGAGCGUUAUCCGGAUUUAUUGGGUUUAAAGGGAGCGUAGGUGGAUUGUUAAGUCAGUUGUGAAAGUUUGCGGCUCAACCGUAAAAUUGCAGUUGAGACUGGCAGUCUUGAGUACAGUAGAGGUGGGCGGAAUUCGUGGUGUAGCGGUGAAAUGCUUAGAUAGCACGAAGAACUCCGAUUGCGAAGGCAGUUCACUGGACUGCAACUGACACUGAGGCUCGAAAGUGUGGGUAUCAAACAGGAUUAGAUACCCUUGUAGUC